rnacentral:rRNA from 1 species
GUCAUAGCGAACGGGUGCGUAAUACAAGAGAAUCUACCACAUAGACUUUGAAAAAUCAAAGAUUUAAAAGAUUGUAUCGCUGUGUGAUGAGCUCUUGCAGGAUUAGGUAGUUGGUGAGACAAAAGCUUACCAAGCCUAUGAUCCUUAGCUGGUCUGAGAGGAUGAUCAGCCACACUGGGACUGAGACACGGCCCAGACUCUUUUAGAGGCAGCAGUAGGGAAUAUUGGACAAUGAGCGAAAGCUUGAUCCAGCAAUAUCGCGUGAGUGAUGAAGAUUUUUUAAUCGUAAAGCUCUUUCAGUGAAGAUGAUGAUGACCGUAUUCACAAAAGAAGUCCCGGCUAACUCCGUGCCAGCAGCCACGGUAAUACGGGGGGGGCUAGCGUUAUUCGGAAUGACUGGGCGUAAAGGGCGCGUAGGCGGAAAAUUCUGUACACAUAUUUUAUAAACACAUUCGUAUUUAUAUUUAUGUAUUACAAAUUUUCUUGAGUAAAGUAGAGGACGGUAGA